AUUGAACGCUAGCGGCAUGCCUUACACAUGCAAGUCGAACGGCAGCACGGGAGCAAUCCUGGUGGCGAGUGGCGAACGGGUGAGUAAUAUAUCGGAACGUGCCCAGUCGUGGGGGAUAACGCAGCGAAGGCUGUGCUAAUACCGCAUACGAUCUAAGGAUGAAAGCGGGGGAUCGCAAGACCUCGCGCGAUUGGAGCGGCCGAUAUCAGAUUAGCUAGUUGGUGGGGUAAAGGCCCACCAAGGCGACGAUCUGUAGCUGGUCUGAGAGGACGACCAGCCACACUGGAACUGAGACACGGUCCAGACUCCUACGGGAGGCAGCAGUGGGGAAUUUUGGACAAUGGGCGCAAGCCUGAUCCAGCAAUGCCGCGUGCAGGAUGAAGGCCUUCGGGUUGUAAACUGCUUUUGUACGGAACGAAACGGCCCUUUCUAAUACAGGGGGCUAAUGACGGUACCGUAAGAAUGAGCACCGGCUAACUACGUGCCAGCCGCCGCCGUAAUAC
rnacentral:rRNA from 1 species